GACGAACGCUGGCGGCGUGCUUAACACAUGCAAGUCGAACGGAAAGGCCCUGCUUUUGUGGGGUGCUCGAGUGGCGAACGGGUGAGUAACACGUGAGUAACCUGCCCUUGACUUUGGGAUAACUUCAGGAAACUGGGGCUAAUACCGGAUAGGAGCUCCUGCUGCAUGGUGGGGGUUGGAAAGUUUCGGCGGUUGGGGAUGGACUCGCGGCUUAUCAGCUUGUUGGUGGGGUAGUGGCUUACCAAGGCUUUGACGGGUAGCCGGCCUGAGAGGGUGACCGGCCACAUUGGGACUGAGAUACGGCCCAGACUCCUACGGGAGGCAGCAGUGGGGAAUAUUGCACAAUGGGCGGAAGCCUGAUGCAGCAACGCCGCGUGCGGGAUGACGGCCUUCGGGUUGUAAACCGCUUUCGCCUGUGACGAAGCGUGAGUGACGGUAAUGGGUAAAGAAGCACCGGCUAACUACGUGCCAGCAGCCGCGGUGAUACGUAGGGUGCGAGCGUUGUCCGGAUUUAUUGGGCGUAAAGGGCUCGUAGGUGGUUGAUCGCGUCGGAAGUGUAAUCUUGGGGCUUAACCCUGAGCGUGCUUUCGAUACGGGUUGACUUGAGGAAGGUAGGGGAGAAUGGAAUUCCUGGUGGAGCGGUGGAAUGCGCAGAUAUCAGGAGGAACACCAGUGGCGAAGGCGGUUCUCUGGGCCUUUCCUGACGCUGAGGAGCGAAAGCGUGGGGAGCGAACAGGCUUAGAUACCCUGGUAGUCCACGCUGUAAACGGUGGGUACUAGGUGUGGGGUCCAUUCCACGGGUUCCGUGCCGUAGCUAACGCUUUAAGUACCCCGCCUGGGGAGUACGGCCGCAAGGCUAAAACUCAAAGGAAUUGACGGGGCCCCGCACAAGCGGCGGAGCAUGCGGAUUAAUUCGAUGCAACGCGUAGAACCUUACCUGGGUUUGACAUGGAUCGGGAGCGCUCAGAGAUGGGUGUGCCUCUUUUGGGGUCGGUUCACAGGUGGUGCAUGGCUGUCGUCAGCUCGUGUCGUGAGAUGUUGGGUUAAGUCCCGCAACGAGCGCAACCCUUGUUCACUGUUGCCAGCACGUUAUGGUGGGGACUCAGUGGAGACCGCCGGGGUCAACUCGGAGGAAGGUGGGGAUGACGUCAAGUCAUCAUGCCCCUUAUGUCCAGGGCUUCACGCAUGCUACAAUGGCUGGUACAGAGAGUGGCGAGCCUGUGAGGGUGAGCGAAUCUCGGAAAGCCGGUCUCGGUUCGGAUUGGGGUCUGCAACUCGACCUCAUGAAGUCGGAGUCGCUAGUAAUCGCGGAUCAGCAACGCUGCGGUGAAUACGUUCCCGGGGCU
rnacentral:rRNA from 1 species